rnacentral:RNase_P_RNA from 1 species
CUGGGAAGACAGGCAAUCGCUGCACCAAUCAUCAGGGUUGGUGGAGAGGAAAGUCUGGACUUCGCAGGAGAGGAUGCCAGCGAAAGGCUGGGGGCUGAAAGGCUACGGAAAGUGCAACAGAAAAUAUACCGGUGCGGGUUUCGGCCCGCAUACAGGGUGAAAUACUAUCUUUAAGAGUUAGUCUCAUCUAGGGGAACCUAGAGAGCUGUAAACCCCAUCCGAAGCAAGACGAGGAGGCGCAAAGCUCUCUCCGAGCUGCCACCGUAGAGUCGCUUGAGAACUUUGCUAACAAAGUUCCUAGAUAAAUGAUUGCCCGUCAGUACACUGUACUGCUCGACAAGAUCCAGCUUAUCGUCUUCCCAGCUUU